rnacentral:rRNA from 1 species
CAGGUCUUGACAUCGGGAUGAAAGCCUUAGAGAUAAGGUCCUCCUUCGGGACAUCCCAGACAGGUGGUGCAUGGUUGUCGUCAGCUCGUGUCGUGAGAUGUUGGGUUAAGUCCCGCAACGAGCGCAACCCUUGAUCUUAGUUGCCAGCAUGUGAUGAUGGGCCCUCUAAGAUGACUGCCGGUGACAAACCGGAGGAAGGUGGGGAUGACGUCAAAUCAUCAUGCCCCUUAUGACCUGGGCUACACACGUACUACAAUGGCCGGUACAACGGGCAGCGAAGGAGCGAUCUGGAGCAAAUCCUUAGAAGCCGGUCUCAGUUCGGAUUGCAGGCUGCAACCCGCCUGCAUGAAGUCGGAAUUGCUAGUACUCGCGGAUCAGCACGCCGCGGUGAAUACGUUCCC